AAAGUUUUGUUAUCCAGAAGCAAGGGGAGAUCGAGGUAAAGGGGAAGGGCAGAAUGACCACUUACUUUUUUGAAAGGAACAUGGGAGUCAGCGAGCAGCAGAUAAUGGGUCUCACAGACCUGGAUACUGGGGCUGGACAGCAGGACAGCCAAAUGAGCUACAAGCCAAGUCUCCACAGAACAGCUUUUCAAAGGCAGCCUUACGCCUUUGCUUGAUCUCUAUGAAAUAUGGAGACAGCCUGAGUGAACCCCCAAGUCAUCCCAUAUGUUUGAACCCCAGAGCUGCCCAGCCAUCACACUCCAGGACUCAGAGAGCUACUGAAGCCUGCACACUGAUGAUCAAUCAGAGGAUGGAGGUCAAGACCGGUUAAAAGAUAGAGAUGAAUUUGGCCAAACAGAAGUAAAUAAAAACACGGAUGGCUUACAGAGCGACAGCCAUGUGCACACAGAGGAACAACAGCUGAUUACCAGUGCUGUGGAAACCAACAAUCAAAGCAAACACACCCAAACCAGGUUCUGUGUGGUCAUGUGAGCUGUUAAUGACUUGCGGAAUGGCUACAUGACUAUAUAUGAUUCAUCAACCAAAGUGCUAUUGAACACCAGCCAUUGACAAAAGAGCUUUGGUGUCAAUGGUAUCGUUCCCACUAUAAAGCCAUUACAUCAGCUAGAUAGAUUCUCUGCAUUGAUCACUGUUUCCCUUGAGUAAAUGUGUGAUACGUUGGAUGUAGCAGAUCAAAUAUUACAUUAAAGUUGACAGUAUAUGCUUUGCUUGUAGCCCAUGUAUCUGUCUGGCAUACUAAAUAAUAAAUGCAUUUUCUCUGUCA